CUUCUCUGCUGAUGUAACGCACAGUAUCCUAUAUAUAACUUGUAUAUACAAUAGGGCAGGUAUUAGGAUGCACGUUCUUUUCACGUCUGGAUGUCAUUGAAAGAUUUUGGCCAGGCGUGGAGACUUCCAACAGGAAAUGAGCAACACUGGAAAUGUGUUUAUUUCUCGGCAACUUUACUGUUCUCAAAGAUAUGAGCCCAUUGAGUGAUUAAAGGAAAGACAGCAACUGUCGGCAGAGGUCACAUGCUAAAAAAGGGGCAACAGUCAAAAAAACGCAACUGUCAACAAAGGUCAUUUGUGAACAACGGGCAAGUAAAAACAAAGGUCAAUUGUCCUUAAGAAAGAGAUAUCUGCAGCCAAACCUGUCGACAAAGAUCACCGCUUGUCAAGGAUGGACAUAUUGUCACCAAGGAAAAAACAUGGACAGCAAAUCCUUGAAGAAGGGCAAAAACAUUAGCAGUCUGGCAAUAAAGGGCACAUGUAAAUAGCAGUAAUUUGAUAUUCAAAGGAGGACCAUCUGAAAAUAAAUGCUACCUGUCAAUAUAGACCACUUGUAAAUUAGGACACCUUAAAGAAAUAUGUCACUAAAAAACUUCAAACUGUCUGUACUUGGGAACUCAAUUAUGGCCGUAAGUCAGUAUGCUGAUCAUUGAUGACAACUUAAGUGUCUAACAAUGAAAACUGUAGACUGAUAUAGAAUGAUGUUAAUAAACAAUAGAUACGUAAAUAGAUAUAAUGUUUGUUGAUGAAGCAUGCAUGAUCAUAAAUAAACUAUUCCUGGUAAGUCA